rnacentral:tRNA from 1 species
GCGGGGGUGGCAGAGCAUGGCCAAAUGCGCAGGACUGAGGAGUUUUGCACAAAACUUAGAACUCCUGUGUCUUUAGUGACUGCGUGAGUUCAAAUCUCACCCCCCGCA